rnacentral:rRNA from 1 species
UAGUAACUGCGAGUGAAGCGGGAAAAGUUCAAAUUUAAANUCUNGUAGUCUUUGGCUGCCCGAGUUGUAAUCUAGAGAAGUGUUAUCCGCGCUGGACCGUGUACAAGUCUCCUGGAAUGGAGCGUCAUAGAGGGUGAGAAUCCCGUCUNUGACACGGACUGCCAGGGCUUUGUGAUGCGCUCUCAAAGAGUCGAGUUGUUUGGGAAUGCAGCUCUAAAUGGGUGGUAAAUUCCAUCUAAAGCUAAAUAUUGGCGAGAGACCGAUAGCGAACAAGUACCGUGAGGGAAAGAUGAAAAGAACUUUGGAAAGAGAGUUAAACAGUACGUGAAAUUGUUGAAAGGGAAACGCUUGAAGUCAGUCGCGUUGGCCGGGGAUCAACCUUGCUUUUCUGCUUGGUGUACUUCCUGGUUGAUGGGUCAGCAUCAAUUUUGACCAGUGGAAAAAGGUCAGGGGAAUGUGGCAUCUUCGGAUGUGUUAUAGCCCUUGGUUGCAUACAUUGGUUGGGAUUGAGGAACUCAGCACGCCGCAAGGCCGGGUUUUUACCACGUUCGUGCUUAGGAUGCUGGCAUAAUGGCUUUAAUCGACC